rnacentral:rRNA from 1 species
UACGAAGGGGGCUAGCGUUGCUCGGAAUCACUGGGCGUAAAGCGCACGUAGGCGGCUUCUUAAGUCAGGGGUGAAAUCCUGGAGCUCAACUCCAGAACUGCCUUUGAUACUGCGGGUCUCGAGUCCGGGAGAGGUGAGUGGAAUUCCUAGUGUAGAGGUGAAAUUCGUAGAUAUUAGGAAGAACACCAGUGGCGAAGGCGGCUCACUGGCCCGGUACUGACGCUGAGGCGCGAAAGCGUGGGGAGCAAACAGG